rnacentral:tRNA from 1 species
CGCACCCGUAGCUCAGCUGGAUAGAGCAUCAGACUACGAAUCUGAGGGUCGGACGUUCGAAUCGUUCCGGGUGCGCCAU